GCAUAUCAAUAAGCGGAGGAAAAGAAACCAACAGGGAUUGCCCUAGUAACGGCGAGUGAACAGGCAAGAGCUCAGAUUUGAAAGGCACUUUUGUGCCGUUGUAUUCUGAAGUUAGGGUCCUGAGAAACGAUGCUUAAGUCUUCUGGAAAGGAGCGCCAUGGAGGGUGAUAGCCCCGUCUAGCAUUGACCUCAUAUAGGAUCUUAACAUGGAGUCGAGUUGUUUGGGAAUGCAGCUCAAAUGGGUGGUAUGCUCCAUCUAAAGCUAAAUAUCUGCGAGAGACCGAUAGUAAACAAGUACUGUGAGGGAAAGAUGAAAAGAACUUUGAAAAGAGAGUGAAAAAGUACGUGAAAUUGUUGAAAUGGAAGGGUAGGCCGCUAACCAUGUAGAGCCGUGUUUGGGGGGAAGAUAAAUGCUGUAGAAUGUAGCUCCUCGGAGUAUUAUAGAUGCAGUUCAUAUUCCCACCCGAGCGCGAGGAUCUCAGGUUCUACUAAAUGGUGGUCUACCACCCGUCUUGAAACACGGACCAAGGAGUCUAUUGUCUGCGCGAGUAUUUGGGUGUCAAACCCAUAUGCGAAGUGAAAGCGAAAGGUUCUAACCUUCGGGUUCAGAAUCGGCCGACCGUUUAUAGAAGCGGAUUGAGUAGAGCGUGGAUGAUGGGACCCGAAAGAUGGUGAACUAUGCCUGAAUAGGGUGAAGCCAGAGGAAACUCUGGUGGAGGCUCGCAGCGGUUCUGACGUGCAAAUCGAUCGUCAAAUUUGGGUAUAGGGGCGAAAGACUAAUCGAACCAUCUAGUAGCUGGUUCCUGCCGAA
rnacentral:rRNA from 1 species